rnacentral:rRNA from 1 species
CCCUCCGGGGUGCAGGCGAGCGAGCCAAAGAUCCAUGAGUUUUUUGCGAAUGUUGGGGUGGAGAUCUCGGAAGGUCAGGUAUCCAAUCUGUUGAUCAAAAAGCAGGCCGAGUUUCACCAGGAAAGCGCCGAGGUAUACGAUUCUGGUCUGCGCAGCAGUCCGUGGCAGCACACAGACGACACGCUGACGCGGGUAACGGGGGAAAAUCAACACUGCCACGUGGUCUGCAAUCCGGUGUACACGGCGUAUCAUACACGGCCAACCAAAGAGCGGUUGAGUGUAUUGGAUGUAUUACGCCAGGGGCGGCCGCGCAUCUUUCGGCUGAAUGAUGAAGCGUUGGGCUAUGUGGGGAAUUUGAACUGGUCAAAGAAAGCCUGGCGGGGGGGC